rnacentral:rRNA from 1 species
UACGGGGGGUGCGAGCGUUGUCCGGAAUCACUGGGCGUAAAGGGCGCGUAGGUGGUUUGAUAAGGGUGUGGUGAAAGCCCGGGGCUCAACCCCGGGUCUGCCGUGCCGACUGUCAAACUCGAGGGCUGUAGAGGCAGACGGAAUUCCGGGUGUAGCGGUGGAAUGCGUAGAGAUCCGGAGGAAGACCGAUGGCGAAGGCAGGUCUCUGGGCUGACACUGACGCUCAUGCACGAAAGCGUGGGGAGCAAACAGG